UUGACCUCGGAUCAGGUAGGGAUACCCGCUGAACUUAAGCAUAUCAAAAG
rnacentral:rRNA from 1 species